rnacentral:rRNA from 1 species
CGGACGGGUGAGUAACGCGUAGGUAUCUGUCCAUGGGUGGGGGGAUAACCUUGGGAAACUAAGGCUAAUACCGCAUGACACCUGAGGGUCAAAAGGCGCAAGUCGCCUGUGGAGGAGCCUGCGUACGAUUAGCUUGUUGGUGGGGUAAAGGGCCUACCAAGGCGACGAUCGUUAGCUGGUCUGAGAGGAUGAUCAGCCACACUGGGACUGAGACACGGCCCAG